UACGUAGGGGGCAAGCGUUGUCCGGAAUUAUUGGGCGUAAAGGGCGCGUAGGCGGCUGGGUAAGUCAAAGGUGAAAUCCCUCGGCUCAACUGAGGAACUGCCUUUGAAACUGUCCAGCUCGAGGCCGGGAGGGGGUGGCGGAAUUCCCAGUGUAGCGGUGAAAUGCGUAGAUAUUGGGAGGAACACCAGUGGCGAAGGCGGCCACCUGGACCGGUUCUGGACGCUGAUGCGCGAAAGCGUGGGUAGCAAACAGG
rnacentral:rRNA from 1 species